UGCCUCGUAGCCAAGUGGUAAGGCAUCAGACUUUGACUCUGACAUGCGCAAGUUCGAAUCUUGCCGAGGCAGCCA
rnacentral:tRNA from 1 species